UACGUAGGCAGCAAGCGUUGUUCGGAGUUACUGGGCGUAAAGGGUGCGUAGGCGGGCAUUUAAGUCAGUGGUGAAAUACCUGAGCUUAACUUGGGAACUGCCAUUGAUACUAUUUGUCUUGAAUGUCGUGGAGGUUAGCGGAAUAUGUCAUGUAGCGGUGAAAUGCUUAGAUAUGACAUAGAACACCUAUUGCGAAGGCAGCUAACUACGCGAAUAUUGACGCUGAGGCACGAAAGCGUGGGGAUCAAACAGG
rnacentral:rRNA from 1 species